UAGGGAAUCUUCCACAAUGGACGCAAGUCUGAUGGAGCAACACCGCGUGAGUGAAGAAGGGUUUCGGCUCGUAAAGCUCUGUUGUUAAAGAAGAACACGUAUGAGAGUAACUGUUUACCCAGUGACGGUAUUUAACCAGAAAGCCACGGCUAACUACGUGCCAG
rnacentral:rRNA from 1 species